AGAGACCCAACAAGGACAAGCGACUGACCAGCUAGAUCUUGAAGGUCCAUCAACACCAUCAUAGCCACCUGCUUGAGAGCCACUCAGGAGCAGCAGGACCAACCCCCAUCAGUCUCAGGGAGGGGCCCAUUGGGUACCAUGGCUCAAACUCAGCUCAUUCGGCAUGGAAGCAAGCAAAGUUACCCACUGAGCCUUCACGUAGCAUUCUUACACUGGUGGGACUCUCUUCGAAAAGACACAAAUGCCUCAGAGAGAGCAGAGCAGGCAGACUGAAGCUCUGUCAGCAAAUAAAAUCGAAUCAGCCUGACUUGUGAUAUUUACUGGCUUGCAGCAACCCGACCGCAGGUCAGUAGUUCUUAACCCUGGCUGAGCACUCAAGUCACAAGAGGCUUUUGAAAAACAACCCCCCUUCCACCCCUCCCCCCAAAGUGCCAGCAUUCUACUCUGGCAAAUAUUCACGUCCUUUCCCCCAGAGACAGUCGUCUUUCUUCUUCCCCUCAGAUACUGGGCCUAAGUCCUUGUGAUUUGCUCUCCCAAGGGGAAGCUAGUGGGGACGACACACCAGGCACAUGAGAGAUCUCUUCUUGUCAUGCCCAGGGGAACUAAGAAUUUCCCAUGAGACCUGCUUCCUUGCAGCCUGAGCCCCAGAAGUAAGAAACACUGCAGGCUCCUGAGGGUAGGCAAGCUCAACCCAUCAGGGAUGCCUGUCUAGUUGAUGAGACACGCCCACUCAGCCAGUUCGAGGUCAACAACUACUCCCACCACGAACUACCCUCAAGUGAGUGGCAACCGCUGUGGCGCAGCCCCCAUUUCCAGCUUGCAGCUCAGAGAGUCUUUCCCACCUGCAGGUAUGGAUCUUGGCUACCAGUGCUUGGUCUAAGGACCGCUUUGCUGUGUGGCGUUCUUGUGGCUCUGGCUAACUGGUACCCAGGAGACGGUCCAGCACAUCUCCAAGAGGACAUCCAAAUGGCCUACCGCCAAAACACCAAGAGGCAGUCACUUUAUUAGUGUUGCGGGGUUCAAAUUCAAAGCUAAAGCAACACAACCUCCCCUGCCCCACAUGGCUCAGAGGAAAACAGAACGUGUAAGGGCCGCGGAGUGCAUGGAGUCACCACGGAGAGUAUGGGGUCACUGGGAGCUGUAAUGAGGAUUGAAACAGUGCUGAAAGAUGGAUGAGCCUUAUCUCCUGCUAGUCCUGGGACCUCCUAUGUACGAUUGUGUGUAAUGUUGGGGACCACAGUAGAAGAUCACCCUCUGGGUUUUCUAUGAAGAAACACAGCAGGGUGAGCGUGGCUGGAAAGCAGCCACCCUCUUGUACCCAGCGCCUUUGGCCAGGGACCUGAGUCGGUGUGAGGAGAGAUGUGUUGUGUUCAUAGAAAGCACAGGUUCUCAGGAGCCCUCAAGAUGCUUGCCGACCGGAUUGCUUGCAAUGGACUUACCAGCCUACAGAAUUCAUAAAAUAGUUUCACAUUCCUGUCAAAACCCCAGGACCUAACCAAAGGUCAGGCACACAAGAAGUAGUUAAUAAGUGCAGGAGAAUAAACAGUAGAGUCAGAAUAAUGUUUAAUUCCCUGGAAGGCUGGCUGGUUUCUGGACUGGGGACCUCGUGCUACCUGCUCUAACCUUACCCUGCCAUCUGCUGGACAUGUCAGGAAUUGCAACGUGGCAAGUAGAUGGUUUGUAGCUGUGCUCACAGGAUGCUCACAGGAUAUUAUAGCAGAUGUGAGACAUCAUCUGACACACAGCGAAGGCCUGGAAAAGAUCUGAAUAUGAUUUGAAGCUCCCUGGGGGCAGCCUCCACCUGCUCUUGUUCAUUCAGGACCUGCCCUGGCUGGAAGUUUUCAGAGGGGCUUAUGAUGGCCUUACAUUCUUCCUAGUUUUCCUCCAUUUAAAAUAAAGACAGGGCAAAGAGAAAAGAUCUCCAA
rnacentral:lncRNA from 1 species